CGUAUGCAACCUACCAUCAGAGGGGAAUAACCCGGCGAAAGUCGGACUAAUACCGCAUAAAACAGGGGCACCGCAUGGUGAUAUUUGUUAAAGAAUUCGCUGAUAGAUGGGCAUGCGUUCCAUUAGGUAGUUGGUGAGGUAACGGCUCACCAAGCCGACGAUGGAUAGGGGAACUGAGAGGUUGGUCCCCCACACUGGUACUGAGACACGGACCAGACUCCUACGGGAGGCAGCAGUGAGGAAUAUUGGUCAAUGGGCGGGAGCCUGAACCAGCCAAGUCGCGUGAAGGAAGAAGGAUCUAUGGUUCGUAAACUUCUUUUGCAGGGGAAUAAAGUGCAGGACGUGUCCUGUUUUGUAUGUACCCUGAGAAUAAGGAUCGGCUAACUCCGUGCCAGCCGCCGC
rnacentral:rRNA from 1 species